rnacentral:rRNA from 1 species
UACGGAGGGAGCUAGCGUUGUUCGGAUAUACUGGGCGUAAAGCGCACGUAGGCGGCGUCGUAAGUCAGGGGUGAAAUCCCGGAGCUCAACUCCGGAACUGCCCUUGAAACUGCAAUGCUAGAAUCUUGGAGAGGCGAGUGGAAUUCCGAGUGUAGAGGUGAAAUUCGUAGAUAUUCGGAAGAACACCAGUGGCGAAGGCGACUCGCUGGACAAGUAUUGACGCUGAGGUGCGAAAGCGUGGGGAGCAAACAGG